rnacentral:lncRNA from 1 species
CAUCGUUCACUCCCUUUGGUACAAUCCAUUCCCUUUCUCGUCGGGAUUCACACAGCAUGGUCAAAGGCAAUACUUUAACAUCACGAAAUCAAGCUAGGUUUACAAAUGUAAGAGAAGACUUCUGAGGUAGCUGAUGAACAUGCCGGCAGAGAGGUUGAAUUCCGAGGUGAACCAGUCAUUCCAAUCCAAGGGAGACAGCGUUUGGAAGCUUUAAUGUAAACAGAAACCCUGCGGGACUCACUUGUGCAUACAGCUGUCAAAACAAUUCAAUAUCCAGAGAUAAACAGGGUAUAAGACACCCACUAGUAUAUUAUACUGGAAUGCAACAUCUUUUUAAAAUUAUGUUGCCAUAUUCUGUACUUUAUCGAGUACCUUCCAUUUUAAUAUUUCAUCUAAUAGACUGUAAUUUGGCACUUUGGGUAGUAAAUAGUGAAUUAAAUGCUGAUGUGGCUUAUUAGGGCAAGUAAAUUUGAAAUCAAGUAUAGUGAUAGCAUUAUAAUGUGACAUGUCAUCAGUUUACAGAAGAGAUUUCUCAAAGGAACACAGAGUUCUGAAUACAUGGGUGUUGGUAUCAUCAUAGAGAACAGCAAGUAUUCAUUAUUCAUUUAGGAAAGGAAAUGUGUACCUGGAU